rnacentral:rRNA from 1 species
CACAUGCAAGUCGAGCGGUAGCACAGAGAGCUUGCUCUCGGGUGACGAGCGGCGGACGGGUGAGUAAUGUUGGGAAACUGCCUGAUGGAGGGGGAUAACUACUGGAAACGGUAGCUAAUACCGCAUAACGUCGCAAGACCAAAGUGGGGGACCUUCGGGCCUCAUGCCAUCAGAUGUGCCCAGAUGGGAUUAGCUAGUAGGUGGGGUAAUGGCUCACCUAGGCGACGAUCCCUAGCUGGUCUGAGAGGAUGACCAGCCACACUGGAACUGAGACACGGUCCAGACUCCUACGGGAGGCAGCAGUGGGGAAUAUUGCACAAUGGGCGCAAGCCUGAUGCAGCCAUGCCGCGUGUAUGAAGAAGGCCUUCGGGUUGUAAAGUACUUUCAGCGAGGAGGAAGGCGUUAAGGUUAAUAACCUUGGCGAUUGACGUUACUCGCAGAAGAAGCACCGGCUAACUCCGUGCCAGCAGCCGCGGUAAUACGGAGGGUGCAAGCGUUAAUCGGAAUUACUGGGCGUAAAGCGCACGCAGGCGGUCUGUCAAGUCGGAUGUGAAAUCCCCGGGCUCAACCUGGGAACUGCAUUCGAAACUGGCAGGCUAGAGUCUUGUAGAGGGGGGUAGAAUUCCAGGUGUAGCGGUGAAAUGCGUAGAGAUCUGGAGGAAUACCGGUGGCGAAGGCGGCCCCCUGGACAAAGACUGACGCUCAGGUGCGAAAGCGUGGGGAGCAAACAGGAUUAGAUACCCUGGUAGUCCACGCCGUAAACGAUGUCGACUUGGAGGUUGUGCCCUUGAGGCGUGGCUUCCGGAGCUAACGCGUUAAGUCGACCGCCUGGGGAGUACGGCCGCAAGGUUAAAACUCAAAUGAAUUGACGGGGGCCCGCACAAGCGGUGGAGCAUGUGGUUUAAUUCGAUGCAACGCGAAGAACCUUACCUACUCUUGACAUCCAGAGAACUUAGCAGAGAUGCUUUGGUGCCUUCGGGAACUCUGAGACAGGUGCUGCAUGGCUGUCGUCAGCUCGUGUUGUGAAAUGUUGGGUUAAGUCCCGCAACGAGCGCAACCCUUAUCCUUUGUUGCCAGCGGUCAGGCCGGGAACUCAAAGGAAACUGCCAGUGAUAAACUGGAAGAAGGGGGGGAUGACGUCAAGUCAUCAUGGCCCUUACCAAUAGGGCUACACACGUGCUACAAUGGCAUAUACAAAGAGAAGCCACCUCGCGAGAGCAAGCGGACCUCAUAAAGUAUGUCGUAAUCCGGAUUGGAAUCUGCAACUCCACUCCAUGAAGUCCGAAUCGCUAGUAAUCGUAAAUCAGAAUGCUACGGUGAAUACCUUCCCGGGCCUUGUACACACCGCCCGUCACACCAUGGGAGUGGGUUGCAAAAGAAGUAAGUAGCUUAACCUUCGGGA